AGAACGCUGGCGGCAUGCCUAACACAUGCAAGUCGAACGAGGGUUUUCGCCUUAGUGGCCACGGUGAGUAACGCGUGGGAACUGCCUUUUGGUACGGAGUAACUCCGGGAAAUGGAGCUAUACCGUAUGUGUCUUGAGGGACAAAGAUUUAUCGCCAUGGGAUGGGCCCGCGUAGGAUUAGCUUGUUUGGGUAACGGCAUACCAAGGCAACGAUCCUUAGCUGGUCUGAGAGGAUGAUCAGCCCACACUGGGAUGAGACACGGCCCAGACUCCUACGGGAGGCAGCAGUGGGGAAUAUUGGACAAUGGGCGCAAGCCUGAUCCCAGCAAUGCCGCGUGAGUG
rnacentral:rRNA from 1 species